GAUGAAGAACGUAGCGAAAUGCGAUAAGUAAUGUGAAUUGCAGAAUUCAGUGAAUCAUCGAAUCUUUGAACGCACAUUGCGCCCGCCAGUAUUCUGGCGGGCAUGCCUGUUCGAGCGUCAUUACAACCCUCAGGCCCCCGGGCCUGGCGUUGGGGAUCGGCGGAGCCCCCCGUGGGCACACGCCGUCCCCCAAAUACAGUGGCGGUCCCGCCGCAGCUUCCAUCGCGUAGUAGCCAACACCUCGCGACUGGAGAGCGGCGCGGCCACGCCGUAAAACACCCAACUCUUCUGAAGUUGACCUCGAAUCAGGUAGGAAUACCCGCUGAACUUAAGCAUAUCAAUAAGCGGAGGA
rnacentral:misc_RNA from 1 species